rnacentral:rRNA from 1 species
AGCGUGGAGACAGGUGGUGCAUGGCUGUCGUCAGCUCGUGUCGUGAGAUGUUGGGUUAAGUCCCGCAACGAGCGCAACCCUCACCCCUUGUUGCUACCAGGUAAAGCUGGGCACUCUAGGGGAACUGCCCCGGUCAACGGGGAGGAAGGCGGGGAUGACGUCAAGUCAUCAUGCCCCUUACGUCCUGGGCUACACACGUGCUACAAUGGCCGGUACAAAGGGAUGCCACACCGUGAGGUAGAGCUAAACCCAAAAAGCCGGUCUAAGUUCAGAUUGGAGUCUGCAACUCGACUCCAUGAAGGAGGAAUCGCUAGUAAUCGCGUAUCAGCACGACGCGGUGAAUACGUUCCCGGGCCUUGUACACACCGCCCGUCACACCACGAAAGCCAGCUGUACUCGAAGUCGCUGAG